rnacentral:tRNA from 1 species
UCCAUGGAGGACUAGUGGUUAGGCCACGGUGCUCUCACCGCUGCUGUCCAGGUUUGAUUCCUGGCCAAGUAA